CCUGUACAGACCACCGAAGAGACAGCAUGUAACCUGCCCAGCUGAAAAAGAUGAAGAAAAUGAUGAAGAUCAGUGUCCCAGCCCACAGACGGACUUGGGUUUGGGUCUUCUGACACCUACUCCAGUGCUCUUUGCCACCACAUCCUGCUCAUUUGGCCCUGGGGCCAGCAAAAGGCAGGAUGCUAUCAAACAGGAGUGUAUGCCUGAGAGCCUAGUGGUGCCUGUGGAGAAAGGGAAGCCCCUCCUUCUGAGCUCCCCGCCUCCGCUGUGUGCGGUGCACGCAGAACUCCAUACUGGACCCUAUAUAACGGAUUCAGGGGGGCUGAAAACGGAACAGAGUCGCAGGAACAGAAGACCCCUGCAUGGAAGGAAAGACCUCCAUCACGGCCACUUCGGAUGGCGCUACAGCAUCUGAAGCCAGACGGUUCAUGAAGGAGAACAUCAGCAGCCUGACCCACUUCAGAACAGACAGCGUGAGGCUCACUGGAAACUGAAUUACUCAGGAUUUCCUGGGUGCAAGCAGACUAUGCAACAAAAGAGUCUUAAGCACAAGGGUACAGGACACUUCAGCGGGGAGGUGUCAGGAGGAAUGGGAACCUACACAAGCUGCUCUACCAAAAUACAUACGAUGAGGCGCUGUCUGUUCGUGAUACUGUAUUUGGAGGCAGGGUUCUUAAGGAGGGAAAGGUUAAAGGAGGUCAUAGGUUGGGGCACUAAGGCAACAGGACAGACUAAAGAGUCUUUUUCUCUCUGACUGUGUAGAAAGGAGAUGUCCCGGGAACAUAGCAAGAAGACAUCCAUAUACAACCCAAGGAGAGAGCCCUCACCAGAAACCAAUCUUGUUGGCACCCUGGGCUUGGAGUCCAGUUUCAGAGCCUGUGGGAGAAGCCAAUUCUGUGUGUUUUGUUUUGGCUUUAAGUGCGGAGGGUGAGCUCAGGACAUACUUUAUGAUGGAUUUACCACCCCAGCCCCCAUUUCUGUUGUUUCUAAGCCAUACUUCCUGGAUUUUCCAGCAGCUCAAGUGACUAACACCAUGAGCUGUGGCCUAGACACCCUCCAGCCUUUAUCCAACAAUCACCAGUCAGCUUCUUCUUUUAUAUUUUUUAAAAUAUAAUAUUUUAUUAAUU